UACCACAAAAGGAAGGUUGGGAUUGAUUUUGGGGGUUAUGGUACCAUCAGUUAAGGAAUUAGGGGCCAAAAAGGGGCCAAAAAUAAGCAUUUUUGUAACUUCCAGACAUAACUUGUGUGUUAGUGUAUGGAUCUCUCUGACAUUGUACCACAAGGUUCCAUAUCACAAAGGGAAUGCUGGGAUUGAUUUUGGGGGUAAUUGCCUCAUAAUUUUAGGAAUUAAGGGCCAAAAAAGGGGUAACAAACAAGCAUUUUUCUAGUUUCAUGACAAUAACUUGUGUUCAAGUGUAUGGAUCUUUCUGAAAUUGUACUAAAAGGUUCCAUAUCACAAAGGGAAAGCUGGGUUUGAGUUUGGG